rnacentral:rRNA from 1 species
GUCCACGCCGUAAACGAUGGAUGCUCGGUGUCUGGUGGGUAAUCAGUCCCGCUGGGCGCCUCAGCUAACGCGCAAGCAUCCCGCCUGGGAACUACGAGCGCAAGCUUAAAACUCAAAGGAAUUGACGGGGGCCCGCACAAGCAGCGGAGCGUGUGGUUUAAUUCGACGCGACGCGCAGAACCUUACCUAGCCUUGACAUGUGUCUGCAAGCCGCUGAAAGGCGGUCGCCUUCGAGGGUGACACACCGGUGCUGCAUGGCUGUCGU